AGUGAACGCUGGCGGUAGGCCUAACACAUGCAAGUCGAACGGCAGCACAGAGGAGCUUGCUCCUUGGGUGGCGAGUGGCGGACGGGUGAGGAAUACAUCGGAAUCUACUCUGUCGUGGGGGAUAACGUAGGGAAACUUACGCUAAUACCGCAUACGACCUACGGGUGAAAGCAGGGGACCUUCGGGCCUUGCGCGAUUGAAUGAGCCGAUGUCGGAUUAGCUAGUUGGCGAGGUAAAGGCCCCCCAAGGCGACGAUCCGUAGCUGGUCAGUGGGGUUGAUCGGCCACCCUGGAACUGAGACACGCUCCAGACUCCUACGGGAGGCAGCAGUGUGGAGUAUUGGACAAUGGUCGCAGGCCUGAUCCAGCCAUACCGCGUGGGUGAAGACGGCCUUCGGGUUGUAAAGCCCUUUUGUUGGGAAAGAAAUCCAGCUGGCUAAUACCCGGUUGGGAUGACGGUACCCAAAGAAUAAGCACCGGCUAACUUCGUGCCAGCCGCCGCAGUAA
rnacentral:rRNA from 1 species